UAAAGAGAGAAGAAAAAGAAGAAGAAAAAAAGAAAGGACAUAAAAAAACAAUGCACUAAAAGGGUACAAAUAAUACAGUAUUUCUAGAAAAAAAUAUAUACAGUACGAAAUCACCAGUUAAUAGGUUGCAUAUUAUCUUCCCAGAAACAGUUGUCCAUAUCACUAAAUUAAAGCAUAUAAAGUGAACAUUCAUACAGUGAAAUUGGAGACAGUUCCGUUCAGUGAUCCAACAAAAGCUCAGUAGUAUGGUUUUCCAUCCUACACUCUCGAACAUACCUGCGGUUAUAUCCCUUAGUCCACCUUACUUUCCUCUCUUUUUUACAGUAACAAUUAGACUUUUAGGGUUUUAUUACUCUCACAGUUCUUAUUACUUUUUUGAAGAGAAUAAAACCAAAUGUGACUUACGCAAAACAGAGUCAGUUAGAACAGAAGGGUGGGCAUAGUACACGAUGCAAAAAUAGAAUAGCAGGUGAUCAAAAGUGGUUACCAUUGUGCCUCUUAGUAUUUUCAAACUGAGUUGUCUAUAUCAUCAGGUAUAAUAGAAUUGAUCAAAACAGUACAGAACAAAACCAAUAAAAUCUAUACUGAGGACCUUACAGGACUUCAAAAAAAAAAGGAUGAUAGUCAAUCUAUAUUGGGCAUCAUAGUAUAUCUUAUUGCCUUCAAAGUGAUUGCCUAUAUCCUCAAACUUGAUACUAUCAAACAAAAUAGAAUAUAUAAUAAUCAGACGGAACAAGAUGGGGAGAGCAAUACUGGGGUUCAAGUCAGGUUAAUAGGACAACAAAAAAGUUAAUAUAAUAUGUUCCGUUAUUUUUUAAUUUAGUUUUCCCUUAAUUAAAAAAAUGAGAGAAAAUAGAUUAAUUUAAAAAUAGGGGGAAAAUUGAGAUAAGAGAGGACAUUGUAAUAGAACAACGCAGGGCAGAACUGAGCAAUUCAAGCAUCAUUGUGUUUCACCACCAGAUAAUCUAACAUAAUAGUAGUUGCCAUAGUGCCUCUUUACUUAAAUUAUUUGAGUGUAACUUUGCAUGUAUAGCACCAUUUUUCAUCCUCACCAGCAACACUGAAGCUUCCAAUUUCUCCAUUUUCUCACCAGCACUCUUUAUUGUGCCUUUUCUAGACAUAAGAAUUCUCUUGGUGAAUAAUGUGGUAUUUCUUUGUGGCUUUGAGUUGCAUUUGGAGCAUAUUUUCUCCACACUUAAGAAAAAUGUGUAUUCUGCCAUUGUUGGAUGGACUGUUAAACAAUUUUUUUCAGAUCCAGUUAGUUUAUAGUGUUGUACAAGUCUUCUGUUUUUUUCUUUUUAUGAUCUUAUUCUUAGUUGUUACUUCAGUCAUUGAAAAUCAGGUAUAUUUUUUCCUUCAGUUCUGUCAUUUUUCACUUAUAUUUUGGAACUUUAGCUAGGUGCACAUGAUUAUAAUUGUUAUAUCGUCCUGUUGGAUUGCCCUUCUGUCGUUGUCACUUAUCUUUUUAUCUGUAGUAAUUUUUUUAAAGUCUAUUUUGUCCAAUAGUAAUCUAGCCUUCCUUGUUUUUAUGGCACCUGUUUACGUGAUACCCCUUAUUUUUUCAGUAUGUUGUGUUUGGAAUUUCAAGUUGUCUCAUGUAGAUGGCAUAUAAUUGGAUGUGUUAAUGCUUAAUCCAUUUACUAUAAUGUUAUUAUUGAUGUGGCUGGAUUAGGUCUACAAUAUUAGUUUUUGUUUUCUAUAUGUCUCAUAUCUUUGUUCCUACUUACUACUUUCAUUUGCAGUACAUGAAUAUUUUCUAAUUUAAUAAUUUUAAUUCCUUAAAUUAUUUUUUUCAUUAUAGUUUUAAAGUUAUUUUCUUAAUGGCUGCUUUAUGGCUUGCAUAGAAUCACCUUGAGUUUGUAUUAGCUUGUUUAGAGUGAGAUUAGAAGCCUUUCUUCAUGUAGCAGUAGGCUUCCUUCCCUUGUUUUUGUUAUGUCUAUUAUAUGUGUAUGUGUUACAAACCCAUGAAGUUGCUAUCAUAAUUAUUGCUUUAUAUAAUUUUAUUCUUUUUAAAGAAUCAGAGGCAUAAAAGUGAGCAAGGAAGAAAGGGGGCUGUUCUUCCCCAGUGGACAAGAUGCCCUUGGCUCACUCCAGUGGAGUCUGUGAGCUCAGCAUCUUGUUAGCAGCGUGUUUCCUGGAGGCCAAGGCCCCUGUGCCAAGAGCUUUUGUUUGAAGUAUUUGAAUGUGGUGUGCACUAUGCCACUUACUGGGAUGCCUCAUGAUUUAGGAAUCUUCAGUUAGAUGUAAAUGGAGGUGGUUGGAUCCUGGAACGGAGACAAAGGCUGACAGUUACCAUGUGAAGUAUAUACUACUGUGUGUCUCAGUAGCUACAUUGCAGGAAUACAGGAAACAAUCCUUGUGUUCACCCAAUUGAUAGAAGGUAUAUGCACAUGUGUCAAAGUGUCAACAGGUGAGUUUUACCCACAUUAUGUGAUGUGUUACAUUUUUGUAUAUAAUUUGAUAAAAGUUCUUUUGAUUUUUCCCUUAGAAUUAGCCAAUUCAGUACAAUGUUGCAUGAAAAUCUGCUUUUACAACUUUGGGAGGAGCUUGAAAGUGAGUUAUCAGGUGAUUCAGCUACCAGUGAUGACUUGGAUCAUGUAAGCCAAAGAAAUUGUGACAACGAGGUGGGGCAAUAUAUGACGGAUAGAGAAGUACAGAAUGAAGACCUUGAUUCAAAUGAGGAAGAAAACAGUAAUGUAAAUAAAUAUUUCACUAGUCAAAAUGCUACAAAACAGUUAUAUAUACCUGAAUGAUCCAAUGCUAGAACUGUUAGUAGGUUCUUUCCCGGGGUGAAAUUUAUUGGAUAGAAUGCCAACACUGUAAUUCAGUGUUGGAAAUUGUAACAGAUGAUAUGAUACAAAAUGAUUUGAACUAUACAAAUAAUAUAUAGCUGAAACAUUCCUUUUUCAUCUAUAGUAAUAAAAUACAUUUAUCAUGACACCUCACUAUUGGAAUGAAAGCCUUCAUAAUAAUACUUUAUUGUUCUAAUCAUCAAAAUCUAAAGCCUUUAUAGAGCAAUGACAGAUGUAGCAUUGAGAUUUUUAAAACAAUAGUGACACUCAAUUUUAUUUCCUUAAAAAUAGCUUAAUUUUGUGUGUGUGUGCUGGGCAUUGAACUCACGUGUUUUCCAGGCAGGCACUGUGCCACUGAGCUAUAUCCUCCACAAAAUAGCUUAAGUUUUGAUGACAAAAAGACCUACUAAGAGAGAAAAAAUCCAACAGUUUGGUUGCUAUUUGCUCAUUUUUUGAAAGCUUUGUUUCAAGUUGUCAAAAAAAUUGUAUACUGUCCAAAUACCUGCAAUUGACAGACAACUUCCAUCAUUUCAUGGUUGUUAAACUUUUUACAAUAAAUGCCAAAUAAAACCUUCCAAAUUUGGUAUAAAAAUA